rnacentral:rRNA from 1 species
ACAAGGUUUCCGCGGAAGAUCAUUA